AUUCUCGUAUUCAUACGUAGUAAAACAACACGUACGUACUCAAACUUACAAAGUAGACGGACAAAGUAUAAGCUGGAUCACGCUGCCUCGCUGGAUAACAACUCGAGUUCAGCCCACCACAGAGGAGAAAGCCUUGGAACUGCAGCAUUUGGCGAUACAUCAAUUGCUUCCCUUAAUUUAUCAAUGGAUUCUUUGAUAGUUGGUCUCUUCCUUGGAUCUUCUUGAAGGCAUUGUUCAAUUACUUCACAAAUAACCAUAAGCUCAUUAUUCUUGAAAGACUUCAAUGAUGGAUCCACCAAAGAGGCGAUAUUCUGCUUGUCGUGACGUAAAUAUUGU
rnacentral:misc_RNA from 1 species